UACGUAGGGGGCAAGCGUUGUCCGGAUUUAUUGGGCGUAAAGAGCGUGUAGGCGGUUAGGUAGGUCCGUUGUGAAAACUCGAGGCUCAACCUCGAGACGCCGAUGGAAACCAUCUAACUAGAGUCCGGAAGAGGAGAGUGGAAUUCCUGGUGUAGCGGUGAAAAUGCGCAGAUAUCAGGAGGAACACCUGUGGCGAAAGCGGCUCACUGGACCACAACUGACGCUGAGGCGCGAAAGCUAGGGGAGCAAACAGG
rnacentral:rRNA from 1 species